UGCAAGGAGAGUAGAAUAGAGCAGGGGGGCUUCCUGGACUAGAGGGGCUCCAGCUGGCCGUUACCCCUCCGUUCUCUUCUCUCCCUCUCCGUCUUCAAGACCGACCGACCAACACCCCUCGACUCUCUUCCGUUCGCUGACCAUCCCAUUUCCCUCUCUGCCAUUGUUUAUCUCAGUGUUGAGUUUUGCCUCUUUGUCCCACCCGACCAUCUUUGACGUCAAUCCCUGCCGGCCAACAAACUACACAUCAUUUGGAGAGAGAUGCGGUGGUGAAGUCUCCGGAGGAAGGCUGAGCUAGGGGCUGUUUGUGGUAUCUCAUACCUAGGCCCAAUUCUGACGAGGUCAGAAUUCGAAAACUGAAGGGGGGAGAGGAGAGUUACAAUUCAGGAUCCAAUGGGGAAUGAGGGGAAACCGGAAUUAGGAACCCGAUCCAAAAAAGAAACCAAACAUUUGGUCUUCAUUCUGGGUGGAAUGAAAAGUAUAAUUUUCCGCCCAACCAAACGCCAUAUAAGUGAAAAAUAAAAUAAUUUUCCUAUGUUAUCUUCACCAUCAAAUUAAACUUACCGAACUGAUCAAAAUCUCAUUUGAAUUUUUACAUCCCAUCGUCUCCUCCGCAACCAUUACCACUUAGCAGCCACCCUAAAUCAUCUCUGAUUAGAUCUUCAUUCUGAGGUACAGCCGUACAAUGUUCAUCAUCAGAGGCCGUCAACCCUAAAUUCGAGGUUGCAGAGGCUUUCAUGGACGAGGAAGCUUCUAAAUUAAGUUGUCAUCAAUAGUUAAAAUGGGCCUCCAAGAUUCCUCCGAAUUCUAUGGAUGUUCAACAACGGUUUCACAUACCUUUGAUGCCCAUUCUACCUUGAUCGGAGGCUUGACAACCUCUAAUCAGGCCGUCGAACCAUUAAUUAGGGGUGGCUACCUAGCCGGUUGUCGGCAUAGUAGUGGCUGAAACCUGAAAUCAAGAAAUGCGGUUUUCUUCUCUAUUCAAAGUACUUAAUUGGCACCAACAAAAGUGUUGGUUGAGUAGUAAACAGUUUACCCCGUAAGAAGGAGAAUAUAAGUUCGAAUCCCGGGAAGCGCAUUUGUUGGGAGGAGAAUAACCUUUAAUACUCGAUCUCCCGAAUGGAUUAAUCAGAAUCCAUUAGAUUUCUGGAUACAAGGGUACACACCGAAAAAAAGAGAGAGUACUUAAUUAGCAUA